rnacentral:rRNA from 1 species
AGAGUUUGAUCAUGGCUCAGGACGAACGCUGGCGGCGUGCUUAACACAUGCAAGUCGAGCGGAAAGGCCCUUCGGGGUACUCGAGCGGCGAACGGGUGAGUAACACGUGAGCAACCUGCCCUUGGCUCUGGGAUAGCUCCGGGAAACCGGGAUUAAUACCGGAUAUGACCCUUACCGGCAUCGGUGGGGGUGGAAAGUUU